rnacentral:tRNA from 1 species
GCUGAUGUGGCUCAAUGGCAGAGCAGCUCAUUCGUAAUGAGCAGGUUGACGGUUCGACUCCGCCCAUCAGCUCCA